CCUACGGGCUGCAGUGGGGAAUAUUGGACAAUGGGCGAAAGCCUGAUCCAGCCAUGCCGCGUGUGUGAAGAAGGCCUUCGGGUUGUAAAGCACUUUCAGUGGGGAAGAAAGCCUUGGGGCUAAUACCCUCGAGGAAGGACAUCACCCACAGAAGAAGCACCGGCUAACUCCGUGCCAGCAGCCGCGGUAAUACGGAGGGUGCGAGCGUUAAUCGGAAUUACUGGGCGUAAAGCGCGCGUAGGCGGUCUGAUAAGCCGGUUGUGAAAGCCCCGGGCUCAACCUGGGAACGGCAUCCGGAACUGCCAGGCUAGAGUGCAGGAGAGGAAGGUAGAAUUCCCGGUGUAGCGGUGAAAUGCGUAGAGAUCGGGAGGAAUACCAGUGGCGAAGGCGGCCUUCUGGACUGACACUGACGCUGAGGUGCGAAAGCGUGGGUAGCAAACAGGAUUAGAUACCCUAGUAGUC
rnacentral:rRNA from 1 species